CAGACUGCUACCACCACCCUGACUGAUAGGGUGUCAGGCAGAAAACUCCAACUUUAUAAUGAACUCCUUGGUGGCUAUCUGACUUCUUGCAGUGGAUGUGCUCCUCGGCUAAGAAUCAGAUCUUUGCAGGAGGGCAUGAGAAUGUAUUCUCAAGGAAAACAGACUUCACACGAUAAGAUGUCAUCCAUUCACCUAGAUAUGUAACAGAAUUUAAGCAUGCCUUUGAUGUUGCAGCUUUGGCUUCAUACCUUUUACCACUUCUGAAAAUGAUCCAGCUUCCUCUAGACUGCAUUGGACAAAGGUUUUGGACCUAAUAUUUGGACACCAAACUUGUAUUUAAUCUGGAAGAUAUUAGACACCACUCUAUGCAGCGCUAAAGGAAAACUGUGUCCAAGAAAGCCUUCCUGUACAGUUCUUAGUAACAGACAAUCCAUACCGGGACUUCUGAGAGGAUUCCAGGACCUGUGUACAAAUUCAAACUGCUUUUCUGUAGUAUCUCUCAAAGGUUCACCUUUCAUCAGAAAUACCUAUCUACAGUUAGGCAUACCGACUUAUAAUUCACCUUGCUGAUGUUUAUUCACCAGCACUCUUAUCUUAGAACUAUUAUGAAUCCUAGACUUUCUUUCCCUAGCAGAGUGAGAGACUGCGAUCAACACAUUUAAGAUGUCAUAUCUUCUGUUAGAAAGUUCUGGACUUGGUGAAAGCCUUUCUAAGAUUUGCACUGCUUUUUGGUCAUUGUUACGACUGAAGUUUGGAUCGUGCAGAGACAGGUGUGAUCAUAUCCAGCUGAAAUGUAUUUUCAACAGACUUUCAGUUAAAAUUGAUAGGAAUUUCCAUGACACAAAAGCUGUAAAAUAAUAAUAA